rnacentral:rRNA from 1 species
GACGAACGCUGGCGGCGUGCUUAAUACAUGCAAGUCGAACGGAAAGGCCCUGCUCUUGCUGGGUGCUCGAGUGGCGAACGGGUGAGUAACACGUGAGUAACCUGCCCUUGACUUUGUGAUAACUUUAGGAAACUGGGGCUCUUAUCCGAUAUGAGCUCCUGCUGCGUGGUGGGGGUUGGAAAGUUUCGGCGGUUGGGGAUGGACUCGCGGCUUAUCCGCUUGUUGGUGGGGUAGGGGCUUACCAAGGCUUUGACGGGUAGCCGGCCUGAGAGGGUGACCGGCCACAUUGGGACUGAGAUACGGCCCAGACUCCUACGGGACGCAGAAGUGGGGAAUAUUGCACAAUGGGCGGAAGCCUGAUGCAGCGACGCCGCGUGCGGGAUGACGGCCUUCGGGUUGUAAACCGCUUUCGCCUGUGACGAAGCGUGAGUGACGGUAAUGGGUAAAGAAGCACCGGCUAACUACGUG